UCAGGAUGAACGCUAGCGGCAGGCUUAACACAUGCAAGUCGAGGGGCAUCGGGAGUAGCAAUACUUGCCGGCGACCGGCGCAAGGGUGCGUAACGCGUGAGCAACAUGCCCGUAUCAGGGGGAUAAUCCAUGGAAACGUGGUCUAAUACCCCAUAGUAAUUAUGUAAGGCAUCUUAUAUAAUUUAAAGCUUUGGUGGAUACGGAUUGGCUCGCGUGACAUUAGCUGGAUGGUAAGGUAACGGCUUACCAUGGCUACGAUGUCUAGGGGUUCUGAGAGGAAGGUCCCCCACACUGGAACUGAGACACGGUCCAGACUCCUACGGGAGGCAGCAGUGAGGAAUAUUGGACAAUGGAUGGAAAUCUGAUCCAGCCAUGCCGCGUGCAAGGAAGACGGCCCUAUGGGUUGUAAACUGCUUUUGUAUGGGAGCAAUAAGGGCUACGUGUAGUCCGAUGAGAGUACCAUACGAAUAAGCACCGGCUAACUCCGUGCCAGCCGCUGC
rnacentral:rRNA from 1 species